AGCGAACGCUGGCGGCAGGCCUAACACAUGCAAGUCGAACGGACCCUUCGGGGUUAGUGGCGGACGGGUGAGUAACACGUGGGAACGUGCCUUUAGGUUCGGAAUAGCUCCUGGAAACGGGCGGUAAUGCCGAAUGUGCCCUUCGGGGGAAAGAUUUAUCGCCUUUAGAGCGGCCCGCGUCUGAUUAGCUAGUUGGUGAGGUAAAGGCUCACCAAGGCGACGAUCAGUAGCUGGUCUGAGAGGAUGACCAGCCACAUUGGGACUGAGACACGGCCCAAACUCCUACGGGAGGCAGCAGUGGGGAAUCUUGCGCAAUGGGCGAAAGCCUGACGCAGCCGUGCCGCGUGAAUGAUGAAGGUCUUAGGAUUGUAAAAUUCUUUCACCGGGGACGAUAAUGACGGUACCCGGAGAAGAAGCCCCGGCUAACUUCGUGCCAGCAGCCGCCGUAAGAC
rnacentral:rRNA from 1 species